rnacentral:rRNA from 1 species
AGGACGAACGCUGGCGGCGUGCUUAACACAUGCAAGUCGAGCGAACCUUCGGGUUAGCGGCGAACGGGUGAGUAACACGUGGGCAACCUGCCCCGAGCUCUGGGAUAACUCCGGGAAACCGGGGCUAAUACCGGAUAUGACACCGAUCGACAUCUGUCGGUGUGGAAAGUUUUUCGGCUCGGGAUGGGCCCGCGGCCUAUCAGCUUGGUUGGUGAGGUAACGGCCCACAAGGCGACGACGGGUAGCC